AUUUAAAUAGCUCAAUUAAGAGUUUAAUAUUGAAGAUAUUAAGGUGAUUUUAUAAUCUUUAAAUA
rnacentral:tRNA from 1 species